UGAGUACGAGCUGCUACGGCAGCGAAGUGGGUGAUGUCAAGCUUCCAAGAAAAGCCCUAUACCCGUUAAGGCAUGACGGCCUGUACCCGAAACCGACACAGGUGGGGUGGUAGAGAAUACCGAGGGGCGCGAGAUAACUCUCUCUAAGGAACUCGGCAAAAUGGCCCCGUAACUUCGGGAGAAGGGGUGCCACCGCAAGGUGGUCGCAGUGAAGAGGCCCAGGCGACUGUUUACCAAAAACACAGGUCUCCGCUAAGUCGCAAGACGAUGUAUGGGGGCUGACGCCUGCCCAGUGCCGGAAGGUUAAGGAAGCUGGUCAGCGCAAGCGAAGCUAGCGACUGAAGCCCCGGUGAACGGCGGCCGUAACUAUAACGGUCCUAAGGUAGCGAAAUUCCUUGUCGGGUAAGUUCCGACCCGCACGAAAGGCGUAACGAUCUGGGCGCUGUCUCGGAGAGAGGCUCGGCGAAAUAGAAUUGUCUGUGAAGAUGCGGACUACGUGCACCCGGACAGAAAGACCCUAUGAAGCUUUACUGUAGCUUGGUAUUGUGCCCGGGCUCUGAAUGCGCAGGAUAGGUGGGAGGCUUUGAUCCAUGGCUUGCGGGUCAUGGUGAGCCAACGGUGAGAUACCACUCUUUCAGAGCUAGGGUUCUAACAGCCACCCGUUAUCCGGGGGCUGGACAGUAUCAGGUGGGCAGUUUGACUGGGGCGGUCGCCUCCUAAAAGGUAACGGAGGCGCGCAAAGGUUUGCUCAGGCUGGUUGGAAAUCAGCCGACGAGUGCAAAAGCAGAAGCAAGCUUGACUGUGAGACCAACAAGUCGAACAGGGACGAAAGUCGGCUUUAGUGAUCCGACGGUUCUGAGUGGAAGGGCCGUCGCUCAACGGAUAAAAGUUACUCUAAGGAUAACAGGCUGAUCUCCCCCAAGAGUUCACAUCGACGGGGAGGUUUGGCACCUCGAUGUCGGCUCAUCGCAACCUGGGGCUGAAGUCGGUCCCAAGGGUUGGGCUGUUCGCCCAUUAAAGCGGUACGCGAGCUGGGUUCAGAACGUCGUGAGACAGUUCGGUCCAUAUCCGGUGCAUGCGUAAGAACAUUGAGAGGAGUUCUCCCUAGUACGAGAGGACCGGGAGGAACGCACCUCUGGUGUACCAGUUAUCGUGCCAACGGUAAACGCUGGGUAGCCAUGUGCGGAGAGGAUAACCGCUGAAAGCAUCUAAGUGGGAAGCCCACCUCAAGAUGAGUGUUCUCAUGGCUUAAGCCAGUAAGGUCACGGGAAGAACACCCGUUGAUAGGCUCUACGUGGAAGCGCAGCAAUGUGUGAAGCGGAGGAGUACUAAUAGACCGAGGGCUUGAC
rnacentral:rRNA from 1 species